GUUUAAUACGAUGCAAUGUGGAGAACCUUACCAGGGCUUGACAUGACGCGAUUCCUCUUUAAAGAGAGGGGGCCCUUCGGGAACACGGACACAGGUGGUGCAUGGUUGUCGUCUGCUCGUGCCGUAAGGUGUUGGGUUAAGUCCCGCAACGAGUGCAACCCUCGUGUUUAGUUGCCAAUGUUGAGUUUGGAACCCUAAGCAGACUGUCGGUGAUAAGCUUUGCAAACUCAGACAUACAAGAAAGGAAAACACUGUAACAAGAAUGGAGACA
rfam:Lupinus angustifolius cultivar Tanjil chromosome LG04, whole genome shotgun sequence.